rnacentral:rRNA from 1 species
UACGUAGGGACCGAGCGUUGUCCGGAAUCACUGGGCGUAAAGGGCGCGUAGGCGGCGCGGGUAGUCAACGGUGAAAGCUUGGGGCUCAACCCCGAGUCGGCCGUCGAUACUCCCGCGCUCGAGCACUGUAGAGGCAGGUGGAAUUCCGGGUGUAGCGGUGGAAUGCGUAGAGAUCCGGAAGAACACCGGUGGCGAAGGCGGCCUGCUGGGCAGUAGCUGACG